rnacentral:lncRNA from 1 species
CUUGCAGCUCCACUUGACAAAUACUAAAUAACAGGCUCUGGCAUCUCCUGAAGCUCUGCACUCAUUAACACACUGGGAGGUAAGUGCAGGCAACCAGGGAGAAUUUACUCUGCAGCAACAGGCUUCUCAUAUAGAAGCCAAACACACCCCAGCAGGUAUCAAAGAGCUAGCGCUCAGCUCAGUCUCUUCUCCACACCACGCUAGUGCACCAAGAACAAGCUUAUAGGUGUGGCAAAAAAACAAACCCUGCCAAUGCUCUAAGUAUAUGUUUGAUGUAAUCUUAUUUCUCAUAAAAUUAAGAGGAUAAUAUUUUUAGGUGAUGCAGAGUAUGAGGCUGUCAUUAGGUUACUCCGAAUCUCUUUCUCUCUCUCUCUUCAUGGUAAAAAUUAAGUUCCAUUAGGAAAAUUCUUCCUCCCCUUCCUUCCUCCCAUUGGUCUUUCCUCCUAAGAUCCAGGUAGCUCUGAGAAAGUUUGUUUCAUCUAUGCGUUGGCCUGGGAAUCCUCCUCUUGUUAAUCUACACAAAUAAAAUCAUCUUAAAGAUAGAAAGCUUUUGUACAAAAAUGUCCUUCAUGGUGUUUUCUAUAUUAGCAAAAUGUUGUACAAAUAAUACAUAAUCUAACAUCUUAAAAAAGGGGAAAUGGUUAAAUAAAUUAUAGCACAAAAAUUCUGGGAGAUAUAUAGGCGAUGAUUAGAUGACAAUGUCAGGUCAGUUCAAUAAAUACAUGUUAUAUUAAAUUGUAAAAGAACAAUACAUGAACUAUGCUGGAAAAUGGUUUUUUUUUAUAUAUACACAGUAUGUUCUUCACACCAUUACAUUUCUCCUAAUAACCCCAUUAACAUAACCCACAUUCCCAUCUUGCCACUGUGAGAUUGUCCUUCACUUCCUAUCCUGG